CACGUAGGGUGCAAGCGUUGUCCGGAAUUAUUGGGCGUAAAGGGCUCGUAGGCGGUCCGUCACGUCGGGAGUGAAAACUCGGGGCUCAACCCCGAGCCUGCUUCCGAUACGGGCGGACUAGAGGUAGGUAGGGGAGAACGGAAUUCCUGGUGUAGCGGUGAAAUGCGCAGAUAUCAGGAGGAACACCGGUGGCGAAGGCGGGUCUCUGGGCCGAUACUGACGCUGAGGAGCGAAAGCGUGGGGAGCGAACAGG
rnacentral:rRNA from 1 species